rnacentral:rRNA from 1 species
UCUGCCCAGUGCUCUGAAUGUCAGCGUGAAGAAAUUCAAAAAAGCGCGGGUGGACGGUGGGAGUAACCACGACUAUCUAGCUGUGACGCUUUCUUUGUGUCUGUGGCGCGGUUACAUAAGUGG